GGAUUCCCCUAGUAACUGCGAGUGAAGCGGGAAAAGCUCAAAUUUAAAAUCUGGUAGUCUUUGGCUGCCCGAGUUGUAAUCUAGAGAAGCAUUAUCCGCGUUGGACCGUGUACAAGUGUCCUGGAAUGGACUAUCAUAGAGGGUGAGAAUCCCGUCUUUGACACGGACUCCCAGGGCUUUGUGAUGUGCUCUCAAAGAGUCGAGUUGUUUGGGAAUGCAGCUCUAAAUGGGUGGUAAAUUCCAUCUAAAGCUAAAUAUUGGCGAGAGACCGAUAGCGAACAAGUACCGUGAGGGAAAGAUGAAAAGAACUUUGGAAAGAGAGUUAAACAGUACGUGAAAUUGCUGAAAGGGAAACGCUUGAAGUCAGUCGCGUUGGCUGGGGAUCAACCUUUGGCUUGGUUUACUUCCCAGUUGACGGGUCAGCAUCAGUUUUGACCAGUGGACAAAGGUCAAGGGAAUGUGGCACCUAAGGGUGUGUUAUAGCCCUUGGUCA
rnacentral:rRNA from 1 species